UUUGUCCUGCCUGGGCUAAGAUGGCAACCAGAGGCACAGUUUUUGGAAGAAUAGCCUUUGCCAGUUUUCACUGGCAAGGCCCAUGCACAAAGGGGGCAAUUGACAAGGCAGGCGUGGGAAACAUAUUUCUGCAGAGAUGAGUUUCUGCCAAUCAGAGGCUGGAGCAGAUCCCCCCCCCUCCCCGCUUUCAAUCUGGACUGAACUUCAACCCUGUUGAAUCACAACUGACAAGAGCCUGGAUGCAAACUACAUCAGAAGGAAGAGGCUGCCAUGACUAGAACGUUCUCUACGGAAAAAUAAAACUGCAGCUCUCACUGGUGACGAAAACAAGGAAAAUGAAAACAAGUAGACAGAAACCUGAUCAUGUCACCUCCCUGAAUCACCUUUAUUCUUCAGGAAGUUUCAGUUCUCCUAAGCUGAAUGUCAAAAAGUCAAAGUUCUGACCGGUUCGCAAGAACUGGUAGUUAAACCGGUGGGAGGCUCCGCCCACUAACUCGGACGUCAUCAGAAGUGAUCUACGCAUGCGCAGAAGAGCACGCGGGCAAGAGCAUGAUGUGAACCGGUAGUAAAGGGUGCGAUAAUUUGCCGGGCUGCAUCUCAAUCCUGCCAAGAUGUCAUGGAUUCGCCACAAAUCCUGUUGAGCUGCUGCUUGAUCCUAAGGGAAGGGAAUUGAUGGACAAAUGGAGACAACCAACGCACCUCCUACCUUUCUGCCUUUUCCCAUCAUCGCUUCCGGACGAGAGCCGAAAUCUCUCAAGUGACAGGAGCAGUUAUUUCUAAAAUUAUGCAGUAUUUCUUCCACCAAUAGGAAUGUUCAGUAUGUGUUGAUAUCAAAUGUACAGCUACUGAGACCUUUUUAGUUUUGUUUUGUUUUUUCAUUGUUUAAAAGUAACUUUCUAGUUUAGUAAUUAGUCAAAGAGAAACAGGAGUUCCUAUAGAUUAGAAAAGAGGGUGGAUGGACCCCGAAGAGGGACAUUCAGGUUGAAUCCUACUUUCUGUCCCUAUUAUUAAAUAAUUAGACUAGGAUAUAUAUCUGUUUGUGUGUAUUGGUUGUAUAAAUACGCCCCUAUCCCCAUCACAUUUCAUAAAAUGAAAGCAAUUAUUUUAUUUUAUUCUUUUUACUUAAAUACCACAUUGUUUAUUAGCUCCAGGCAUUCAUUUUAAUUAUCAUUAAGAUUCUAAAGCUGGCAUAACAAUGAAACUCUUUUAUAGUAGCCUAUGACAAUUAACCUACAUGUAUAUUAUUUAAAAAUAACAACUAAAAAUCCAGCAAAUUCUGAAUUAUUAAUUUAAUAACAGAAACAAGAAAAAAACAUGACAUAUUGUAUCUUCC